rnacentral:rRNA from 1 species
CCUACGGGAGGCAGCAGUGGGGAAUAUUGGACAAUGGGCGCAAGCCUGAUCCAGCAAUGCCGCGUGUGUGAAGAAGGCCUUCGGGUUGUAAAGCACUUUCAGUAAGGAGGAAGGCUCAAAGGCUAAUACCCUUUGGGAUUGACGUUACUCACAGAAGAAGCACCGGCUAACUCCGUGCCAGCAGCCGCGGUAAU